rnacentral:tRNA from 1 species
GCCCCUGUGGCCCAACGGAUACGGCGCCGCCUUCCGACGGCGGAGAGUGCAGGUUCGACCCCUGCUGGGGGCACCA